rnacentral:lncRNA from 1 species
GUUGAUAAAUGUGAUACUGUGUUGAUGUUUGUUGGGGUUUAGGCUAGUUUUAUACCCCUAUAUGCUUAAGAAUGUGUUUAUGCAUGUUUUAGGAUAGUUGAAUGUGUGUUUUGAGGUUUUUCGGUGGCUAGAUGUGGGAGACAGAAUCUGGUUUUGCCAUCCUGGAGAACCCAGGUUCGGCCGCCGAACCUGCCUAUGGAGGCAGAUUUUGCCACCUAAACUCGCCCCCGAAAGUUGGACUUUUGGAUCUUUAGGGGAGUUUCGACCGUCGAACUGAAGGUUGGUGACUUUCGGAUCUAUGAAAGGGUUUUGGCUGUCGAACCUGCCCCCAAA